CUGAGGGCCGGCGGAGGGCGCGGGCGGGACAGGCCCAGGAGACGGGACCGCGGCGGGCCGGGGCUCCGCGCCGAGGGCGCACGGGCUACGGGGAAGGGGCGACCGGCGCGACGUCCGCGGCGGGGCCCGGGAGCCCCGCGCCGCGGGCCGGGGGCCGGGGCCCGAGCUCGAUUCUGCGGCCGCGAGGUAUGGGAACCGGUCCGCCGGGCCAGGCAGCGGUGCUAGGCAGCAGGGGCAGCGACGCCGCCGCCUUUCCCUUCUCCUGCCCCCGUCCCUGCUCCGCCGCGUCCUCGUCCUCGCUGGGUCCCCGCCGCCGCCGCCUCAGCCUCGGCGCUCCUCGGGUUUCUUCUCUCCAUCAAGGCCGGGCCGACCCGCAGGGACCAUCCCGGAAAGUGAGGGGUUGUUGCCGUUUCCCGCAGCUGUUGGUGGCCAUCUUUAAUCCUCCUCCUCCUCCUGCUUUCUCCACCUCCCGCUGGCUGUCUGACUGACUGACUGGAUCCUCCUCUUUCCCCUCCUGCUCCUCCUACUGAGCCGGCCGCAGAAAUUGCAGCCGCUCAGCUUCUACCCCCUCCUGCCUUUCCUUCCUCUUUCCUUACUUCCUUCCCUUCCCUCGGCUUCCCGCUCUUGCCUCACUCUCAGCGGCUGCCUUCGCCCCUGUCUGCAGACAGCGCCGCUGGAUGCUCCCAGCUGGACUUCAACCCCACUCCUCUCAGUCCCUCUCCCCACUGCCUUCCAGACGCGCCUCUUCCCCGCCCCGCGCCCCUCUCUCCUCUCCCACCCCUGCCCCUCUCCGCGGCGCUCACCCUCCUCAGUCCCAGUUUCUGAAAGGACUCAGCUGAGAAAGGACAACUGGGUUCCGCUUUCCUUAACCCUACACCCUUUAGCUGGAUGCUGUCAGAGGCGAUGGAGAAACGCAAAGGCUACUAGACGCAACAAUAGAAUUACCAUAUUGUUUUUCCUGGUUUGAAAGGACCAGAUGGAAAGAAACUGGGCAAGCCAAUGAAAGUCUCUGGGGAUCAUGGGAAUUGAGUGUCUAUGAAAACCAUAUUCCAGACAAGAAUAUAGUCUAAGGACACAGCAAGAGGCAACAUUUUGGAAGCAGAGGGCAACUCUCACUGGAAACCAAAUCUCCUGGCACCUUGAUCUUGGAUUUUACAGCCUCCAGAACUGAUAGCUGGGAGGCAUUACAUAGUCAUGUGCGAGGUCAAAACUGAGUCACCACCACAACCAAGUUCCAGCUGGCAAGAAGAGGAAAAAUAACACAGAGGAGUUAUGACCAGUGUUGUAAGGAUCUGGCCUAGAAAUGGCAUGCAUCUCUUCCACUAAUAUCCUAUUGGUAAAAAUGUAGUCACAUGGGCACACCACCUAUCUGCAUGGAAGGCUGGGAAAUGUUGAUCGGUAGGGCAGCCAUAUGUGUAGGAAGGAGAAAACAGAAUUUGGUGGAUACCUAGUAGUCUCUGCCAUACCCUUGACCAGAAAUUUUUCUUCUAAAGAAUUUAAUUCUAAAAGUUAUAGACAUUCCCAAAGAUAUACCUGCAAGCAUCACAGCUUUGUGUAUAAUUGCAAAAGUUGAAAUCAACAUGAAUGCCCAAAAUAGUGAAUUAUUUAAACAGAUUAUUACCCAUAUUAUGAAGAAAUACUCUGCAACUCUUAAAAAUAAAUGUAAUGUGCCAGGCGCAAUGGGAUAUGCCUGCAGGCCCAGCUACACGGGAGGCCAAGGCAGGAGGAUCACUUGAAAUCAAGAGUUCAAGUCUAGCCUAGACAACAUAGUGAGACUUGGUCUCUAAAAAAGAAAAAAAAAAAUAAAACUGAUGUAAUGAAUAUAUAAUUACAACAAAAGAGGUCUAACACUAUAGUAGAAAAGUUUGGGGCACUCAUCCCAUUCAUAAUUAUUUUACAUUUAAAUUACUGUUCCUACUUAAGUGGUGAGCUUGGUAACCAUUUUCAUAUCAGGUGAUACUGCUGCAGUAAUCAUAGCUGUUUGAAUCAGGAAUAAUCCCAAUCACAUUUUCUCUUAAUCGUUUAUUAUACUGGGCAUUGGGGUUGCAAGAUAAUGCACAGUCCGAGCUCAAUACAUGUCUUCAUGUACCUGUAUGUAAAUCCCACUUUUAUUCUAAAAUUCUUUGAAUAUUUUGUUUCUUGGAACCCAAUGAUCCUAAGAAAAUUAUGUACUUUUACCUGAAAAUUAAAACCAAUAUUUAUAAAAAGUGUAUAUGCAGUAUGAUACCACUUUUAAAAAAAGAUAAAUUUAUAGAAAAAAGUUUAUAUGACUGACAACAAUGUCUCUGAGUGGUAGGAUUACAGUUAAUUUUUAUUUUCUUCAUUCUACUUAUCUUUAUUUUCUGAACUUUCUACAAUGAACAUGUUUUAUUUUUACUUUUGUUAAAAUAAAUAACAUUUAAUUUGACGGAAAAUUCUAAAAAUCAACAUUUGGUAACUUAAAUAUUCAUUGGCACAUGAUUCUGUGCCUGUUUCUGGGGGUCAUUCCCAUGAGAAGAGCAGGUAGAACUUAUGAGAAUAGAGCAGUCGAAAUAUUAUAGGUUUCAUAUUUUACGGCUUUAUUGAAAACAUUGAUAUAUUGAAUAUUCAUAAAUUUUAAUUUAACUUUCUUUUAUAAUCCUUAAUGUGAGGCUAAGGUAUAAGGAGAAAGGAGAUUGGUAAGGAAGUGUGAUACAUAUUGAAUCAGGUGUCAAGGUACCAUUUGUGCCUGGAUCUGACCAAUAGACCAAGGUAAAAAUCUCAAAGAAUGAGACUUGUAAUGAGAAUGCCACAAACUUGAAUACCUUAUGCACAAAACACAAACAUUGUUAUGCAUAAUGUACAUGAACCCUGAAACAAAGAUAAUGAUUUGGACCACCCAACUGAAGUGGCAUGUUAUGUUUUUGGCAUGAACAAAAGAAACAAGAGAGAAAAAAAUCAAAAUAAUUAAAAUAAAUUGUUAGAGAAAAGUUACUUUAAAAAUAGCUAUAACGCUUUGCAAUUUCAGUAACAGUUCUGCCUCUGAUGCAAUGUAAAACAUGUAUUAGACAUUCAGGCUCCACAAUAAAUUUUAAUGAGCACUACAAAUUUAGAAUAUAUAAAAAUAUCAGUAACCUAUGAAUUCAUCAACAUAACUCACUUUUCAGUUAAGUUAGGCUGAGUUGAAAUUCUACUAAGUUUUCCCAUAUUCUUGAUAAAGGCUAAAUUUGAAAUAAUUUAUUUAGAUGACUAAUUGGCAAUUUGAUAGUAGUUACAUUUUAUGUAACACUUGAUAUAAUAACCCAAAUUAAUUAGCUCAAUAUUAUCUUCUGUGGUUUAUUGAUCCAAAAGUACAUAUUUGUUAUGUAAACUUAUACUAUGUAAACUUGAAUUAGUUUUUUGCUUCCUUGAAUUAAUAAAGCCCAUUAAUGCAAAUCUAAGCCUUCAUAGACUUUUCCAAUCCUUAGUUAAAUAUUAAAAACUGAGUAUUGUAGUUAUUUGCUAGGUAUAAAAGGUGACUCAGAGUAGAGAGUAAGAUGUCAGCAAAUAGACAAUAAGAUGUCAGCAAAAGUGCCUCAAAUUUUAACUGCGUCAAGUUAAGGGCAUUGUAAAUACUGUAGUUUUAUGUAGCUUGCAACUUCUACUGAAAUGAGUUUAAUCAUGUCUUUCACAUAGCUGAAGUUUGUGUCAAGAUUUAAGCUGAUUUUCUCAUUCUUAUCAAAGUCUCACCUGGGGGUAGGGAGGGGUAGGCCUACCUCCCACCUCUAUACUAUCAUUUUAGGAACAGACAGGCAUAAAUCUGUUCAUAUGGUAGAACACAUGAUGUUAGAGUAUAUUUUGUUGAAUGCUAUGGAAUAUUAAUAUAAUUAAUUCUAAAAUAUCACCUAAAAUAUGUCAACUGAAGAUCUGACUGUACUAAAUAUGAAAAAUAAAGCAGCACAUACUUUCUCUACUGUUUUCCUGGCCAUUCAUUGUCACAAGGCUUAGCCAGUCCCUGACACCCAAUACGCUACCAAUAAGCCACCAUCAUCUUUUCCUGGGGUUUUGCAUUCACUGGUUGUGUUACCUAGUAUUGCCUAUGAUAAUCGUUAGUCAUCAUUAAGGAACUAAGUAUUAUGUACUCCUUGCCUUGGAAUACUCUAUUUGGAGUUGUGCAAGUGAGAAGCCCCAAAUUUAUAAGUCAAUAUCCUCAUUCAGAGCUGCCACCCUUGUGACUUUAAAUUGGAGCUCCUGUUUUACACCACUGUGUAUCUCUAUUUCUGGCCAUCACUUUUUUAAUACACAUGACUUUCCUCUCCCAGUUUCCAGACAGGGCUCUUUGAAUGUAUGUCAAACUCAGUUACUCCAGAGAAAAAACUGCCUUUCCCUUCAAAGUGCUCCCUCGAGGUUCCUUAGUGAGUUUUGUACCUUCUAUUUUAAAAGAGGCUUUCCCAAACUGUGCCAUUUAUCAAUUUAUUGCCCAUCAGUCUCCACCUACCAUUCUCUGCUCUGCUUUGUGAACUGAAGAGGGACCCUGUAAACAUUUAUUUAUUGCCAGCUGGUACAACAUUAGACUCUGUCAAGAAAGGGUGCUGGAGGGCCACUUCAAGUCCACUGCAAGAGAAAGGGGCUGCUCCUGAUGGCCAGGUUUGCUGUUUCCUUCAGCAAGGCUGCUGGCGGAUGUGCAUGUCAGAGCUCUCAUAGCUCUCACCUCAGUGACACUUGACAACCAGCAUAGGGCCCACCAAACCCUCCAAGAAGUUUGGUCACCAGGUGAGCCACUUCCUGUGAACCCCUCCAGCAUAUACCUUCUGAUAAGUUUCUAUGCUGUUGGCAGUCUGGUGUUCCUAUAGCAAGCACACUCUCCCCAACAAGGCAUGAAUCUACAUUGGUUGAAGGUGGGACAGUUGGUUUCUUCUACAUUCUUGGUUCCAUCAUUGUUCAUUCUUCCUCAGUCCCAGAAGUAGCUGCUUUUUGCAUUUGUUAUCUCUGUAUUGAUUAGAGUUCCUUUUUAUUAUGAUUAAUGUAAUACUCCUUUAUAUUAAAUUUUUCCUUUUCAAAUAACUGGUGUGGAUCAAAGGCAUCCUGAAUCUGGUAUGAUCUAUCUCACUGUUUUCAGAUACUGUAGUAAGAGGCAUAAACUUUAUGUAAUUUUAGUAGAUUUGCAGUUGCAAAAUAUUUGAGAUACAUUUAUGGCAGGAAAGGUUGAAGUUAGAAAAUUAUGCAAUUGAGUAACAUUCUUAUGUAAAUUGUGAAAAGACUACCAUUAUCCCGCUUUAGCAGCAUAAUAUCUUUGUUGAGCUCUCAUGACUAUCCUGUCCUGUAAGAGUAAGCUUAGAGAAUCACUGAAACCAAUGAACAAAAUGUUGCUUAAUGGAACGAUUAUUGAGUUUAUAAAAAUAUAUUUGGUUAGAGAAUAAUGUUUUGUCUUCAGACUUUCAGUUAUGGGUGACCCAACUUCUCUAAAAUCAUUUUUCCAUACUAUUUCUGUUUGUCAAUUUGAUUUUCUUUGUUUCUACCAUUCAUAUUUAAAAUACAGCAUUAUCUCUAAUUUAUUCCAGCAUUAUUAAAUAUCUACUAUUUGCAUGGCACUGGCUGGGGAAUGGAAGAGAAUACAUCUUUUCUGCUCUCAAGGAGCAAAAAAAUGUAGCUAUAGAAAAAUUGCUCAAUGUAAAUAACUAAUACUUUUAAUAAUGUGACUAAUGUUCAGAAAUAAUGUAUCAUCAAAAUUUCUUACAGUUCAUUAGUUUGUAAAUUUAAUGUAAAUGUUGAGAAUAUUAUUCUUGUCAUAAUGUAAAGCCACGUUCUUUUACUUUAAUCUCUGGGGAAAAAAAUCACAAAUUAUUAUUAUUUUAAGACAAGGUGUGCGACAGUUGAAUAAAAAGUUGAGUGCAUUAAUUUCUUUAAUUAAAUCUAAGCUAUAAUUCAAAUGAACUUUGGAAAACACUAACUUUAGUCUGAUUAGUUAUUAGUAGUUAACUGAGUAUCUACAAAAACCAUACUUUCAUUCCCAAAACUGACAGUCAUUCUCCUUUGUCCCAUGAUAGAAAUAUGAAGAUUAUUCCACAAUACCCUCCGUAGACAGAAAACUUUAUAAACCCACUAAUGCCAAAGGGCAAGGUGAUAAUCCCCUAACGGAAAAACAGGAAGCCAUGCUGUUCUUUUCUUGAAUGCCACCUUUGCCGUCACCAUAGUGCUGUGAUCUAGGGUAAGGCAGUUUGUUGUUGUUGUUGUUGUUGUUUUAAAUAACAGAACAUUCAGAUAAAUAUCCUAAAGCAGUAUAAAAUUGGAAGACUAGUGUCUCUACUUUAAUUAAUUGCACAUGCUUCUAUGUUCUACAUAAAUCAAAGCCUUCCUUUAAGACCCGUUCUUACCUUCAUUCACGAUUUGCUCUCCUCUCACAGUCUUCUGGCCUCGGUCCCCUUGUCCAGUAUUCUCCUUUCUUGUGUCCUGACCUGGGGAGUCUCCAGCUCCCUCCAAGUGACAGAGAAUCCCGAGUGCUG
rnacentral:lncRNA from 1 species